rnacentral:rRNA from 1 species
GCCAGUACAUACAUUUGAAUUGUGAGACUGUGGACGGCUCAGUAAAUCAGUUAUAAUCUGAUCGAUUGUCUCGGUUAUUGGAUAACCGUGGGAAAUCUAGAGCUAAUACAUGCGGAUAUGGGGUCCUCGGGUCCCGUGGCAUUUAUUAGAAGUAUACCAACAGUCGAAAGACUUGGUGAAUCUAGAUAACUUUGCAGAUCGUAUUGCUUUAUGCAGACGACAUUUCGAUUGAAUUUCUGCCCUAUCAACUUUUGUCGGUAGUGUAGUGGACUACCGAGGUUUUGACGGGUAACGGGGGAUCAGGGUUCGAUUCCGGAGAGGGAGCCUGAGAAACGGCUACCACAUCCAAGGAAGGCAGCAGGCGCGCAAAUUACCCAAUCCAGACAGUGGGAGGUGGUGACGAAAAGUACCGAAUGACGGCCUAAUGGUUGUCAAUUUGGAAUGGAAUCAAUUUAACUAAUUGGUUGAGAAACUACUGGAGGGCAAGUCUGGUGCCAGCAGCCGCGGUAAUUCCAGCUCCAGUAGCGUAUCUCAAAGUUGCUGCGCUUAAAACGCUCGUAGUUGGAUCACAAACUACAAUUGGUGGAAACGUUGGCAGAUCAUCGGUGGAGAUACGGUAAUGUGUCCUCAUGUUAGUGUAAAUUCACGUGGUUUGUUGGCGGGACUACAAGCCAGUUUGUAGUAAUUGCAUGUGAGGAUAGACACUGGCCUUGAGUGCGCUGGUGUUUGUGUCUCACAGAGUGUGCCUUGAGUAAAUCAGAGUGCUUAAAGCAGGCUUUACGCUUGAAUGUUAUUAGCAUGGAACGAACAAUCGUGUAUGGUGUAUAUCGGAGAAGACUGUGAUGCUUCGGUGUCACAUUCGUCGAUAUACGACACCGACCGCCAAUUACGGAUGUUGGUUCCGUAUUGGGGUACUGAUUAAGAGGAGCGGUUGGGGGCAUUGGUAUUUGGCAGCGAGAGGUGAAAUUCUUAGACCUGCCAAGGACUAACAAAUGCGAAGGCAUCUGUCCAGACCGUAUCCAUUAAUCAAGAACGAAAGUGAGAGGUUCGAAGAUGAUCAGAUACCAUCCUAGUUCUCACGGUAAACCAUGCCGACCCGGGAUCAGUUUGGAGCUACAAAACUCCGCUCGAGGUUGGUCCCCCUGGGAAACCUAAAGUUUUUCGGUUGCGGGGGGAGUAUGGUCGCAAGGCUGAAACUUAAAGGAAUUGACGGAAGGGCACCACCAGGGGUGGAGCCUGCGGCUUAAUUUGACUCAACACGGGAAAACUUACCUGGUCCGAACAUCCGAAGGAUGCACAGACUGAUAGAUCUUUGCUGAUGGGGUGAAAAGUGGUGCAUGGCCGUUCUUAGUUCGUGGAGUGAUCUGUCAGGCCUAUCCCGGUAACGAACGAGACUACAGUCUCCAUUUGACGGAUCAAAGAAGGCUGCGGCAUGACCGUGGUUGGCAACAAUCGCGGUUGUAGUUGCAGUUGUGGCAAUAUUCGAGUCAAUGUUUGUUCGGGAUUGAUGCGGGUAGAACUGUGUCGGUUUCGGGCAUUCAAUUGUUGGAUAUUCCCUUUGGUACAGCAGUAUAUCACAAUGUGGUGUAUUGUAUCAUGGAGAGACAGCGGAAUAUAUUACAAAAUCCGAGGAAGUGUAGCUAUAACAGGUCCGUGAUGCCCUUAGAUGUUCAGGGCUGCACGCGCGCUACAAUGAUGGCAACAGCGAGUGUCUGGAUCGAAAGAUUUGGGUAAUCUUGUAAUUGCCAUCGUGAUGGGGAUUGGCGUUUGUAAAUACGUCAUGAAAGAGGAAUCCCUAGUACGUGCGAUUCAUGUAGAUCGCGCGGAUUACGUCCCUGCCCUUUGUACACACCGCCCGUCGCUACUACCGAGUGAAUGGUGUCAUAAUACCUUGGGAGCGGACGUCGCCUGGGCCCUGUGCUUGGAGUGAUGCUGCAAUCAGCGUAAAAUGGCGC